GAUGAAGAACGCAGCGAAAUGCGAUAAGUAGUGUGAAUUGCAGAAUUCAGUGAAUCAUCGAAUCUUUGAACGCACAUUGCGCCCUUUGGUAUUCCAAAGGGCAUGCCUGUUCGAGCGUCAUUUGUACCCUCAAGCUUUGCUUGGUGUUGAGCGUCUUGUCUCUAGCUUUGCUGGAGACUCGCCUUAAAGUAAUUGGCAGCCGGCCUACUGGUUUCGGAGCGCAGCACAAGUCGCACUCUCUAUCAGCAGAGGUCUAGCAUCCAUUAAGCCUUUUUUUCAACUUUUGACCUCGGAUCAGGUAGGGAUACCCGCUGAACUUAAGCAUAUCAAUAAGCGGAGGA
rnacentral:misc_RNA from 1 species